GACGAACGCUGGCGGCGUGCUUAACACAUGCAAGUCGAACGGAGCGAAUGAAAGCUUGCUUUUAUAAGCUUGGUGGCAAACGGGUGAGUAACACGUAGACAACCUGCCGACAGGAUGGGGACAACAUUCCGAAAGGAAUGCUAAUACCGAAUGAAGUGCAGGGGAGGCAUCUCCCCUGCAUGAAAGAUGGCCUCUAUAUAUAUGCUAUCACCUGUUGAUGGGUCUGCGUCUGAUUAGCUGGUAGGUGAGGUAACGGCUCACCUAGGCGACGAUCAGUAGCCGGUCUGAGAGGAUGAACGGCCACAUUGGGACUGAGACACGGCCCAGACUCCUACGGGAGGCAGCAGUGGGGAAUCUUCCGCAAUGGGCGCAAGCCUGACGGAGCAACGCCGCGUGAGUGAAGAAGGUCUUCGGAUCGUAAAGCUCUGUUGAUGGGGACGAACGUGCCUAAUGCG
rnacentral:rRNA from 1 species